rnacentral:rRNA from 1 species
GAUGAACGCUGGCGGCGUGCCUAAUACAUGCAAGUCGAGCGAACAGACGAGGAGCUUGCUCCUCUGACGUUAGCGGCGGACGGGUGAGUAACACGUGGAUAACCUACCUAUAAGACUGGGAUAACUUCGGGAAACCGGAGCUAAUACCGGAUAAUAUAUUGAACCGCAUGGUUCAAUAGUGAAAGACGGUUUUGCUGACACUUAUAGAUGGAUCCGCGCCGCAUUAGCUAGUUGGUAAGGUAACGGCUUACCAAGGCAACGAUGCGUAGCCGACCUGAGAGGGUGAUCGGCCACACUGGAACUGAGACACGGUCCAGACUCCUACGGGAGGCAGCAGUAGGGAAUCUUCCGCAAUGGGCGAAAGCCUGACGGAGCAACGCCGCGUGAGUGAUGAAGGUCUUCGGAUCGUAAAACUCUGUUAUUAGGGAAGAACAAAUGUGUAAGUAACUAUGCGCGGCUUGACGGUACCUAAUCAGAAAGCCACGGCUAACUACGUG